AGUGAACGCUGGCGGUAGGCCUAACACAUGCAAGUCGAACGGCAGCACAGUAAGAGCUUGCUCUUACGGGUGGCGAGUGGCGGACGGGUGAGGAAUACCUCGGAAUCUACUUUUUCGUGGGGGAUAACGUAGGGAAACUUACGCUAAUACCGCAUACGACCUACGGGUGAAAGCAGGGGAUCUUAGGACCUUGCGCGAUUGAAUGAGCCGAUGUCGGAUUAGCUAGUUGGUGGGGUAAAGGCCCACCAAGGCGACGAUCCGUAGCUGGUCUGAGAGGAUGAUCAGCCACACUGGAACUGAGACACGGUCCAGACUCCUACGGGAGGCAGCAGUGGGGAAUAUUGGACAAUGGGCGCAAGCCUGAUCCAGCCAUACCGCGUGGGUGAAGAAGGCCUUCGGGUUGUAAAGCCCUUUUGUUGGGAAAGAAAAGCAGCAGGUUAAUACCCCGCUGUUCUGACGGUACCAAAAGAAUAAGCACCGGCUAACUUCGUG
rnacentral:rRNA from 1 species